rnacentral:rRNA from 1 species
UGCUACUCCAACCCCUGUGACAUACCAAUUGUUGCCUCGGCGGAUCAGCCCGCUCCCGGUAAAACGGGACGGCCCGCCAGAGGACCCCUAAACUCUGUUUCUAUAUGUAACUUCUGAGUAAAACCAUAAAUAAAUCAAAACUUUCAACAACGGAUCUCUUGGUUCUGGCAUCGAUGAAGAACGCAGCAAAAUGCGAUAAGUAAUGUGAAUUGCAGAAUUCAGUGAAUCAUCGAAUCUUUGAACGCACAUUGCGCCCGCCAGUAUUCUGGCGGGCAUGCCUGUUCGAGCGUCAUUUCAACCCUCAAGCCCCCGGGUUUGGUGUUGGGGAUCGGCGAGCCCUUGCGGCAAGCCGGCCCCGAAAUCUAGUGGCGGUCUCGCUGCAGCUUCCAUUGCGUAGUAGUAAAACCCUCGCAACUGGUACGCGGCGCGGCCAAGCCGUUAAACCCCCAACUUCUGAAUGUUGACCUCGGAUCAGGUAGGAAUACCCGCUGAACUUAAGCAUAUCAAUAGCGGAGGAA